UGGGGAAUAUUGCACAAUGGGCGCAAGCCUGAUGCAGCCAUGCCGCGUGUAUGAAGAAGGCCUUCGGGUUGUAAAGUACUUUCAGCGGGGAGGAAGGUGUUGAGGCUAAUAACCUCAGCAAUUGACGUUACCCGCAGAAGAAGCACCGGCUAACUCCGUGCCAGCAGCCGCGGUAAUACGGAGGGUGCAAGCGUUAAUCGGAAUUACUGGGCGUAAAGCGCACGCAGGCGGUCUGUCAAGUCGGAUGUGAAAUCCCCGGGCUCAACCUGGGAACUGCAUCCGAAACUGGCAGGCUAGAGUCUUGUAGAGGGGGGUAGAAUUCCAGGUGUAGCGGUGAAAUGCGUAGAGAUCUGGAGGAAUACCGGUGGCGAAGGCGGCCCCCUGGACAAAGACUGACGCUCAGGUGCGAAAGCGUGGGGAGCAAACA
rnacentral:rRNA from 1 species